rnacentral:snRNA from 1 species
GGAUAUGAGAGGGAUUUGGCUGCGAAAUCUGUCACCCCAUUGAUCUCCAGGAUUGAUUUGACUAAUCUGGCUGAUAGGCUGGUGUCCCCUUCCUCCCUCACAGCUCCAUGUUUGUCCCUCCCGAAACUGCUGGCUCUGUCAAAGAGGAAGAACUUCCCCGAAUAGAGGAGGACCAGUCUUCCAUCAAGGGCAUAAGAGUAGCUGUGCUCUCCUGCUAGAACCUACAAACAAGCUCAAGGUUCAGAGGCCAUCUGCGGUACACUCUUGUUCCCAUACCUGUUAUCUCCCUCUUCAGAUGUCUAUCCUGUUUGUCUUUCUGUGAGG